UAUCGAACAAAAAGAGACAAAUAGUGGUACUGGAUUUGUUUGUUGGUCUAGUAUUUCAAAACUAAAACAGACUAAACCUGUAGAAAUAUUUUGGCAGAAUUUCUACACGAGGGUUCGAUGCCCUCCACCUCCACAA
rnacentral:tmRNA from 1 species